ACACGUAGGGGGCGAGCGUUGUCCGGAAUUACUGGCGUAAAGGGCGCGUAGGCGGCCUAAUAAGUCAGAUGUGAAAGUCCUGGGCUUAACCCAGGGAUUGCAUUUGAAACUGUUGGGCUUGAGGACAGGAGAGGAAAGCGGAAUUCCCAGUGUAGCGGUGAAAUGCGUAGAUAUUGGGAGGAACACCAGUGGCGAAGGCGGCUUUCUGGACUGUCCCUGACGCUGAGGCGCGAAAGCCAGGGGAGCGAACGGGAUUAGAUACCCCGGUAGUCCUGGCCGUAAACGAUGGAUACUAGGUGUGGGAGGUAUCGACCCCUUCCGUGCCGCAGCCAACGCAUUAAGUAUCCCGCCUGGGGAGUACGGCCGCAAGGCUGAA
rnacentral:rRNA from 1 species